CCGCCGCCGGCCCCGACCUCGAGCGCGGCGGCUAUCGGCUAGCAUUCGCGUUGGUUCAUAUCUACGGCGCCCAAGUUCCGAUCGCCACCGCUUCCACAUCGUAAGGUCCUCGAAUCCCAACCCAAUGCCCGCUCCGGAUCGAUCAAACAUGACCUUUUUUUCCCAAAUCCUCUCGCCUAUUCAGCUAUCCCCAUUCCAAGCCAAACAUCUUCCAGUCUCGACCAGCCGAUCUGCUCAGCCAUCGCAUCCAUGGAAACUCGCCCCAUCGGCGCUUCAUCAGCUUCCUUGUUCUAGCAACCCCUUUUACGCGCGCACGCGAGAACCAGACACAAGGACCACCCCAACCCAGCGCCCAGCGGCAUCAAGCGUUCUUAAGUACCCGGAACCAGAAGGAGGAAGGGAACAAGUACAAGGUGACAAACUGACAAGGGGAUUGUUGUGCUGGGGAGUGGAAUUCACUCGGCCGCAUCGCAUGUGCGGGGUGGUUGGGGCUUGCCGGGGGGCGUGGCACGGCACCACGGCGCAAUGCGACAGCGAGCUCGCAUGUUGGGGGUCCUGGAGAUCCAGUGUCGGCAUCAGGGAGAGGGAGAGGGAGCCAGAGAGAUGGAGGGGUUGGGUUGAGCUCUAAUCAAUUGGUGUGCUGAUGGUGGGUUGGGAGAGCCUGAGCUCGCCAUUGGAGUAAUGGGGGUUUUUUUGGCGUGAUUUGUUCAGUUGUUCGAGGUGGAUGGACAUUAUUCUUCAGGAGGAUCAUUGGCUGCGAACUAGAAUGUCGAACUACUGGCAGAUUGAAAAUGUUGACUGUUUGAUUAUUAAUUGAUAAGAACUGAUAUAAAAUGGUUCGGUAGUUUCUUUCAGGUGUCAGGUAGGCUAGCAAUUCAUUCUCUACUGGCCCUUUUGUUUUGGCUCAUGUACUUGCAGUUUACUGCGAAAAGGGCUUGCUGAGAUAAUAUUGGGGUUCAAGUACACAUUGAUUAAUAAGACAUCCGGGGAGGUAAAGUACAAGUCUAUACACUAUACUAAUGUGCAUUCGGUUUGCACCUGCAUGGGAAGGAUGUUAUGCAAGUAGCAGCACCUUCUGAAUUAUUUAGCACCAAAGUGGAUUUGUGCCAGGUGUCAGGUAGGCUGGCAAUUCAUUCUCUAUUGGCCCUUUUGCUUUGGCUCAUACACUUACAGUUUACUGCGAAAAGGGAUUGCUGAGAUAAUCUUGGGGUUCAACCGUUCAAGUAUAGACCUUGAUUAAUGAGACACCUGAGGAGGUAAAGUACAAGUUUAUAGUAGUUUGUACAUUCGGUUUGCACCUGCAUGGGAAGGAUAGUUCUGUAAGUUGCAGUGCCUUAUGAAUUAUUUAGCAUCAGAGGUGGAGUUUGUCCUGGUUGUUCGCUGAACUGCCUCUUUAUGUUUGUUCUGCACUUCAUUCUUAAAUCCGUGUGGUUGCCAAUCAAACAUGCUGCAUAGAAGGGAUAGUGGCACCUGCUAGUCCUUUCAUCAAAGCCUGAUGCAACAGUCACUUUUAGCAGUGCCUUACUCUCUUAUGUGGAGCUGACAAGUUUGGGUUAGAUGAACAGUCCACUCCGCAUUUUGAUGUACUCAAUUAGGGCUUUCACAUAGUUCCAGUAAUAGUGAACUUGAGGACUAUAUUGUUUAAUGUUGAAUUGCUUCCACUGUCAGAUAAGUUGACGACAACCUUGUAUCAUGCCCCCGGAAAUGGAGUAAUAAUCAAUUGGAUUAAAAGUCUCACAUUCACUAUGGAGUGACAUUUAAUAGAUUAUUUUAUAACAAGUAGGGGCUUGGCACACAUAGAACAUAUUGAAUGAAUCUUGAUCUUUCUAAAUGUCGUAAUACUAUAUGAAAUGCUCUUUCUAUAGCAUGCAGUAAAAUUUGGAAGCAAGAGACAUUAAUUUUGAAAUUAAGAUGAGCCUUGAUACCCUGUUCUGUAGUUGAAUAUCUUGGCUAUUUGAUGUCCACUCCUUUUGAAAUUUUGCUAGUGCUAGGUUAACUUACCUCAUUGGGAUGACUGCAUGAAGCUGCAAAACAUCAUUGGUAAUUUUCUUCAUAUUGGUUGUUCCUUUACUUUUUUGUGCCUUUGUUUAGCAACAAAAGUUUAAGUUGUUAUUAGCUGUUGGGACUCUAGUAGAUUACCUACCGAGGGAAAGUCCUACACUAGGGAAUGCCAAAAUAAACAUCAUUCUGUUGAACUCAGAGUAUACUUGGUAAGUGAAUACUGUAACACAGCCAAAUUUAUUAGAUGCUUGUCUUUGUGCAAAUUCAAUGUGGCAGUUGACAUUCACAAUUGGGCCAAGUCCAAUAAGCCAGCUUUUGUGCUCUUCCAAGUCCACUGGAACCUAAUUUUGUCCGUCCAUGUGAUUCUGAUACACUACAAUCUUCAAGUGGUACUUACCGCCAGGAAGCUUCCACUGGUUCAUCUAACUCAUCUUAAUAAUCUGGAAAAUAUAAUUUAUUGGCAUGGAAACCUUAGGCGUGAUUUGUCUAGAUAGAAGAAGAAGAGCUAGCAUUAUGACUUAUGAGGCAAGCAACAUUGUGGUUCUUUAAAAGCAUAAGAAAAAAGUCAUUUUUACCUAUGUUGACACCUUUUUUGGCACGAGCCUGGCCUAUGAUGAGGCAGGGGAAGUAGCUGAUGGAAGCCAGCCGAUGUUGAAACGAAGUUGGCCGAUUGGCCCAUACGGCGUCGCAGCUGAUGGAGCGGAAUUGGUGCUGAUGGAUUGCGUCAACAAAAACGUUGUGUGGAGUCCGAGUCCUGUGCGAAUCGUUUUGUUUUAGAAGGUUUGUCAAGUUAUAUGGUGUCGCGAUCGACUAAACUUUAUUAGCUUGGACUAUAGAUAUUGGCCCACGGGCUUGUAAAUCAAAUAUAAUAAUUACUUCUUCGUGAUC